rnacentral:rRNA from 1 species
UACGGAGGGUGCGAGCGUUUGUCCGGAUUUAUUGGGUUUAAAGGGUGCGUAGGUGGCUGUUUAAGUCAGUGGUGAAAUACGGUUGCUCAGCAAUCGAGGUGCCAUUGAUACUGAAAUAGCUUGAAAUAAUUGGAGGCUGCCGGAAUGGAUGGUGUAGCGGUGAAAUGCAUAGAUAUCAUCCAGAACACCGAUUGCGAAGGCAGGUGGCUACGAUUGGUUUGACACUGAGGCACGAAAGCAUGGGGAGCAAACAGG